rnacentral:rRNA from 1 species
AUGCCUAAGAGAGACACACAGCCACAAUCUCAUGUUAAGAGUAAUAAGCGAUGGAACAAAAGCAUUACAGGUUCUUUACAUGCCCCCUCACGGUUCAUUUUGAUUCCUCAUAGGGAACUAAAAAAAAGCAGCCUCGAGAAGCCCUGGCUAUGGGCACUGACACCGACGCCAUCGUCAACAGUGGGCCACGUGAGGCCGGCGCAAACCCCAUCCAGAUCACCGUUGGUGUCGGGAGGAGGCCGCCAUGGCGCUCCAGGCGUGGCAGGAGCUUGGGGGUACGUAGCUGUCGUCGCUCAUCUUCGGGGACUCGCUAGGCUCGGGAGAGUCACUAGACUCCCAGGAGUCGUCCCUGCUGCCGAGGAAGUCGUCGGCAGGACCCACAGUAGGCGCUGCGCCCGUCGCCUCUCCCUGCUGAUGGUCUCCCCUAGGGUAGCACUCUAA